CAGAAGGCUAUUUCUGGUUUAUUCAGGGGAGAGCCUUGACCUUUCUAAUUAAACAGGCAGUUUGUCACUUCCUGGGAGAUGCAGAAGGUACUUUGCUAGACCAAGCAUCAUCUUUUGUGUUUUAUCAACACCUCUCUGCUGCAGUGAUGAACAACCUCCUUUUUCCUGCUGACCUGUAGCACACAUCAGUUAUCUCCUCUGCCCGAUUACCCUGGUAUUUUCUAUCAAUUUCUACCAGAUGACAAACAACUGGAAAACAUGUUUUUGGAAAAAAAUACAUGCAACUCAUUAUUAAUGUUUUCCUGAAAGUGGAUGUGGUAGUAAUGAACUCUCCUGGUGUGACAGUGAGCCUGGGGUGACCAAACUAUCCUUCCAUAAGAAUGGGUCUGGGCACUGGGAACACUGGGUUCCUCAGGAACAUCUGUCUGCAGAUGGGCACGCUGCUUGGUCGUGGUCACCUGGAGCUAGAGCUAAAGGACCCAAAUGGUCAUUUAGAGGCAAGAUCAUGACAGUUCUCAUUGGGCUUAUUUUUCCUGACCCAAGAGUCCAGGAUGCCAUGGGAAGAGCUGGAUGCUCUACAGCAUGGAGCAGAAGUAAGCUAUGGGAUGAUCUGAUGACAAAGGUGGCAACAGAAGCAGUAUACUGGUGACUCAGGGAAACUGCCAAGGAAACUGUCUCUUGUGUUUGAGACGGUCUGUGCAUGUCUGCUGCUGGUGGGACACCAGUGGUGUCAGCAGCAGGGGCCGAGCAGUGCGGCUGUGCUGAGACGCCUGCGUUUGGAGUCAUCCUGGUGUUUCAGUGAGCCCUUCCCUGAACUGCACCUACCAAACAGGAUCCCAAGUGCCCCUGAGGUAAGAGCCUGGUGCUUGUCAGGACUGAAUGAGCUGCCACGAAGCCAACAGGAGGCAGGUAAAGUUAAUUUGGGUGGGUCAGGCCUCGUUUCCCUAUAUAAGGGUCCUCCAGGACUAGGGCGGAUGCAAAGGAGGCCUCAUGCCCCCCUCAGUGCAUGACAGAAAGCUGGCAGGAAGCACAUUCCCGAGGGGAGGCAGGACUUCCCUCCACAUGUACACUCAAAUUGUGGCCAAGAACCAGAAGGAAACUUUGCUGCUGCCUCCGAAGAGCCGCUCGGCUGGACCCCUAGGUUGAAGCCAGCAGGCUUCUGCACUGGCAUGUUGCUCUGCUAGCUCCUGGAGGUGCACCAGGAGGAAGCGGAACCCUCCUGGUUCCCGUCAGCCUUCCAAAAGUUUGGGGAUGCUGAGCAUUCAUUGAUCAGCAUGAUGAGAUGGGCCUGGUGAUGUGCAUAGCACCUUGCUGUGAGGAGCAGACAGAUUUCUGACAAAGAAGUGGCAAAAAAAGGGAAGAAAGCACAGCCAACGCCAGUGCAUCAGAGCAAGUAUUGCAGCCAGACCCAGAGGGUUAAAGCAACCCAGAAAGCCUGAGAGGAUCCCUCAGGACAUCUCCCAAGUGGACUCAGGAAAACGUGCUAUCAAAGGCUGAAACCUGGCAAAAAGAUGGAAUGGGGACCGUGUGGGUAUGGUGCGCUGAGGGGCUCAGUGCAGCACGUGGCUGGGCUUGGGGCUGGCUGUGUUAGGAAAUUUUCUAAUGUUCUGUCUUUGAGCUUUAGCCCUCUUGUUUCUUUUAACUUAUGAAAAGUGUAAGGCUGUUCCUAGCUCUGCCGAGAGCUUUUCUUUGUGAGGCUGCCCGGACAAACUUUGGGGACCUGCUCAGUGCUGGCUCUGGCCAGCCUAAGCCGACGUUAAUUCCAACCGAGAUUCAAAGGCUUUCACGAACAGACUUAAAGCCCAAGGUCGCUGCAACACAUCAGCAUUGAAAAGAACCAUUUAAAAAUAAGUUGUGAUAACUGAAUGGGAUGUUCUCUGGCUGACCAAGCCCUGGGCACCUCGACUGGCUGUGACCUUGUGCUGAUCUCCACUUGAUCAUUUUCCUUCCCUCCAGGAGGUGAUGUGAAAAUGAGUGGGGUCACGUUGGCGAAGCAGUCCCCUUCCCCUUGCUCCCUGCACCAGUUAAUGAGCCACCAGCUCGGGUUUUAGUUGAGAAAUGGGCUCCUGGUGCUUUUGGACUGCGGCGAGUUUGGAUACAUGAGCCUUAUGGUUUGGACACUGAAAGUCAAAGAAAAAGAAACCUAAACCCAUUUGACUUAAAGGUCACGAGACGUGGUGUCAUGGUAUUUGGGGUCUCGUGAUUUUUAAAUGUUAAUGCUGCAAGCCCGGAGCCUGGCAAUUCACUGCCAGUAGUUAUCAGCAGUGAGUCGGAGACUCAGGUUGGUUCUAACCUGCCUCAGCAGAGGCUUGAUGACAGAAAGUGACGUGUGGUCACGGCCUUCUUUACAGGGCCCAU